UAAAUACUCCCGAGAGACCGAUAGCGAACCAGUACCGUGAGGGAAAGGUGAAAAGAACCCCGAGCAGGGGAGUGAAAUAGACCCUGAACCCGUCUGCCUACAAGCGGUCGGAGCGUCGUAAUGACGUGACGGCGUGCCUUUUGCAUAAUGAACCUACGAGUUACCUUCCCCGGCAAGGUUAAGUACCUAAGGUACGGAGCCGAAGCGAAAGCGAGUCUGAACAGGGCGCCAAGUCGGGGGGGGUAGACGCGAAACCGAGUGAUCUACCCUUGGCCAGGUUGAAGGUUGGGUAACACCAACUGGAGGACCGGAUGGGUAAGCGUUGAAAAGCUUUCCAAUGAGCUGAGGGUAGGGGUGAAAGGCUAAUCAAACUCGGAGAUAGCUCGUACUCCCCGAAAUGCAUUUAGGUGCAGCCUCUUUAUAGUAUAUCGUGAGGUAGAGCGACUGAUUGGAUGCGAGGGCUUCACCGCCUAUCAAGUCCAGAUAAACUCCGAAUGCGCGAUAUAUAUUUACAGGGAGUGAGGGCGCGGGUGCUAAGGUCCGUGUCCGAGAGGAGAAGAAUCCAGACCACCGGCUAAGGCCCCCAAAUGAUCGUUAAGUUGAACUAACGAGGUCGGAUCGCAGAGACAGCUAGGAUGUUGGCUUGGAAGCAGCCAUUCAUUUAAAGAGUGCGUAACAGCUCACUAGUCGAGCGAUCUGGCGUGGAUAAUAAUCGGGCAUAAACGAUCUGCCGAAGCCGUGGAUGUCGCAAGACAUGGUAGGGGAGCAUUCCAUGCCGCGUCGAAGAUGAGGGAUGACCCUUGUUGGAGCGCAUGGAAAAGCAAAUGUAGGUAUGAGUAACGAUAAGGGGGGCGAGAAACCCCCCCGCCGAAAGACCAAGGUUUCCUGAUCAACGCUAAUCGGAUCAGGGUGAGUCGGGACCUAAGGCAAAGCCGAACGGCGCCGCCGAUGGAAGAAUGGGUUAAUAUUCCCAUACUGCCUCAUGGAGUGACGUGGAGACGGAGAAGUGACAGUCCUGCCGGCUGACGGAAUAGCCGGUUGAAGGGUGUAGAUAUUGAUUCCCGUAGGCAAAUCCGCGGGGAGAGUCGAACCUGAGAGUAUACGGAGCGCUUGCGCGACGUAAUAUGGACGUAACCAUGCUCCCGAGAAAAUCCGCUAAACUUAUCCAUGCGGCACCCGUACCGUAAACGGACACACGUGGUCGGGUUGAGAAUACUGAGGCGCUCGAGUGAUUCACGGUUAAGGAACUAGGCAAAUUGACCCUGUAACUUCGGGAUAAAGGGUCCUCGUCGUAAGGCGAGGCGCAGAGAAUAGGUCCAGGCAACUGUUUAACAAAAACACAUGGCUGUGCUAAAUGGAAACAUGAUGUAUACAGCCUGACACCUGCCCGGUGCCGGAAGGUUAAGAGGAGAUGUCAUCCGCGAGGAGAAGCGUUGAAUUGAAGCCCCGGUAAACGGCGGCCGUAACUAUAACGGUCCUAAGGUAGCGAAAUUCCUUGUCGGGU
rnacentral:rRNA from 1 species